GAUAAAGUAGUGAGGGUACGUGCGUGAAUAAAGGUGGUUGAAGCGUUAAUAGGAAUGAACGGGCGUAAUUGGCGUGUAGGUGGUUGACUAGGUGUGGUGUGAAAUCCCAGGGCUUAACCUGGGAAGUGCGUCGAAAACGGGUCGACGCGAGUGAGAUAGAUGGUUGUGGAAUGUCCGGUGUAGCGGUGAAAUGCGUAGAUAUCGGAAAGAACAUCAGUGGCGAAGGCGACAACCUUGAUCGUAACUGACACUGAGGCGCGAAGGCGUGGGGAGCAAACAGGAUUAGAUACCCCUGUAGUC
rnacentral:rRNA from 1 species